rnacentral:rRNA from 1 species
ACAAGCGGUGGAGCAUGUGGUUUAAUUCGAUGAUACGCGAGGAACUUACCUGGGCUCGAACGUAAGAUGACUGUAGGUGAAAGCUUACAUCUCUUCGGAGCAUUUUACGAGGUGCUGCAUGGUUGUCGUCAGCUCGUGCCGUGAGGUGUCGGGUUAAGUCCCAUAACGAGCGCAACCCCUACCUUUAGUUGCCAUCAGGUUAAGCUGGGGACUCUAAAGGAACUGCCUACGCAAGUAGUGAGGAAGGCGGGGAUGACGUCAAAUCAGCACGGCCCUUACGUCCAGGGCUACACACGUGCUACAAUGGCCGAUACAGAGGGCAGCUACCUGGUGACAGGAUGCAAAUCUCCAAAGUCGGUCUCAGUUCGGAUCGGAGUCUGCAACCCGACUCCGUGAAGUUGGAUUCGCUAGUAAUCGCGCAUCAGCCAUGGCGCGGUGAAUACGUUCCCGGGCCUU